GACGAACGCUGGCGGCGUGCUUAACACAUGCAAGUCGAACGGAAAGGCCCUGCUUUUGUGGGUUGCUCGAGUUGCGAACGGAUGAGUAACACGUGAGUAGCCUGCCCUUGACUUUGGUUUAACUUCAGGAAACUGGGGCUAAUACCGGAUAGGAGCUCCUGCUUCUUGGUGGGGGUUGGAAAGUUUCGGCGGUUGGGUAUGGACUCGCGGCUUAUCAGCUUGUUGGUGGGGUAGUGGCUUACCAAGGCUUUGACGGGUAGCCGGCCUGAGAGGGUGACCGGCAACAUUGGGACUGAGAUACGGCGCAGAAGCGGAGGGGAGGGAGCAGUGGGGAAAAGUGCAAAAUGGGGGGAAGCCUGAUGCAGCAACGCCGUGAGCGGGAUGAAGGCCUUCGGGUUGUAAACCGCUUUCGCCUGGGACGAAGCGUGAGUGACGGUAAUGGGUAAAGAAGCACCGGCUAACUACGUG
rnacentral:rRNA from 1 species